AAAAGUAAUAAAGAUGUUUAACAUUCUAUUCUAUUAUUCUAAGCAUAUUACUCUAAGGCGGGGAAGGAGGAGGGGAUAAAGAGUCCAGUUCAUAUGUUGUUCACCUUUCGAAGAGAAAUGACAUCGUUUGUAGAUCAAUACUACAACAUUAAUCGGAAGUUUUUGACGAUUGUUGGAUUGUGGCCAUAUCAAAAAUGGAGAUCCCGAAUUUUCCAAAUUACGUUAUUCCCUUGCGUGCUCAUGGCUUUUCUAAUUGCUCAGGUUCUCGCGCAAGCAUUUCCUUGUUUUAUAUAUUUCUUAACGUAUAUCGCCUUUGUUUGGAAUCAUAAAGAAAUGAAAAUCUCGUACGAGCGAGUUUAUUAUGAAUGGAUGAUAGUAAAAGCUGCAGAUGAAAUCGAUAUAUUAAAAAAAUACGCCGAAUUUUCCAAGCAAUUCGCGGUGAUAACGACGGUGCUGCUACUAUUGUUUCUUAACAGUUUUGGUAUCUUUCAAUUUCUUCCGGCUUUACUGGACUUUAUUACACCGCUUAAUGAAUCUCGUGAGCAUCACUUCACCUUCCUAGCCGAGUAUUUUGUCGAUCAGGAACGAUACUUCUAUCCCAUUUUAACUCAUAGUUUAUUCGCCAUUUAUGUCGGAUGUACCGCAGUAGUGUCUACUGGUAGUAUGCUUAUGGCAUUUGUAUUGCAUAUCUGCGCAAUGUUGAAAAUAGCAAGUUAUCGUCUUGAACAUAUAAGCGAUAAUAUAUCACCAAUAUCCAAGUCCGAAAAAGAUUACAUUAUGUAUGAAAGAAUAGUCAGCGCCGUUGACACACAUCGCAGAGCACUCGAAUUUGCUGAAUAUCUAGUGACCAGUUUUAUGAAAUUUUACUUUGUGUUAAUUGGUGUAGGUAUUUCAUCUUUAACCGUUAAUAUGUUUCAACUUCUGCAAUUUAUGAUGGUUUCAAACGAUACAAACGGAAUGUUAGCAUGCGCUCUGUUAAUUAUCGCUCAUUUCAUUUAUAUGUUUAUGGGGAACUUUGCCGGCCAAAUAAUCACAGAUCAUAAUACCAAUAUUUUUUACAAAACGUAUACGCAAUGGUACACGGUUUCGUUACGAACACAAAGGAUGCUGCUUUUUGUAAUGCAGAGAAGUAUGAAAAAUUACUAUUGUGAAAUUGGUGGUGUUUUCGCUGCUUCUCUAGAAGGCUUUGCCACGUUAAUGAGUAUGUCACUAUCUUACUUCACGAUGAUUUACUCCACACGAUGACCACACAGGGUGCGACUCAGCAUUUAGUAGCCCAUCGUAGAUAAUUACACAAGAUUCUUGAAGGAUCUGAUAUUCUAUUAACGAGCCAUUGGAAAUACAUUAACGAAAAAUGUAUUUACUAAUUA